CGCUCGUUGAUUCUUUAACUCACCAGACGCCUCAGCUGAUAGGAGAUACAAAGACAACGAGCACGCCACACCUUUUACCUGUCGCUUCAACACCAACACCAACACCAACGUUUGCUCUCCCCUCUGGGUCUUGGCCUUUGUGGGAGACAUCGACGCCGGUUUCCUCAGUACCUCUGGAUCUACUAUCCGGACCGUUCCCUG